rnacentral:rRNA from 1 species
CCUACGGGAGGCUGCAGUGAGGAAUAUUGGUCAAUGGGCGAGAGCCUGAACCAGCCAAGUAGCGUGAGGGAGUACUGCCCUAUGGGUUGUAAACCUCUUUUGUCGGGGAGCAAAAGCCGGACGUGUCCGGCUGUGAGAGUACCCGAAGAAAAAGCAUCGGCUAACUCCGUGCCAGCAGCCGCGGUAAUACGGAGGAUGCGAGCGUUAUCCGGAUUUAUUGGGUUUAAAGGUUGCGCAGGCGGAUUUUUAAGUCAGCGGUAAAAUCGUGGGGCUCAACCCCAUCCAGCCGUUGAAACUGGGGAUCUAGAGUGUGCGAGAGGUAUGCGGAAUGCGUGGUGUAGCGGUGAAAUGCAUAGAUAUCACGCAGAACCCCGAUUGCGAAGGCAGCAUACCGGUGCACAACUGACGCUCAGGCACGAAAGCGUGGGUAUCGAACAGGAUUAGAUACCCGGGUAGUC